ACCCGCUGAACUUAAGCAUAUCAAUAAGCGGAGGAAAAGAAACCAACAGGGAUUGCCCUAGUAACGGCGAGUGAAGCGGCAACAGCUCAAAUUUGAAAUCUGGCGUCUUCGGCGUCCGAGUUGUAAUUUGCAGAGGGCGCUUUGGCAUUGGCAGCGGUCCAAGUUCCUUGGAACAGGACGUCACAGAGGGUGAGAAUCCCGUACGUGGUCGCUAGCCUUUACCGUGUAAAGCCCCUUCGACGAGUCGAGUUGUUUGGGAAUGCAGCUCUAAAUGGGAGGUAAAUUUCUUCUAAAGCUAAAUACUGGCCAGAGACCGAUAGCGCACAAGUAGAGUGAUCGAAAAAUGAAAAGCACUUUGGAAAGAGAGUUAAAAAGCACGUGAAAUUGUUGAAAGGGAAGCGCUUGCAGCCAGACUUGCCUGUAGUUGCUCAUCCGGGUUUCUACCCGGUGCACUCUUCUAUAGGCAGGCCAGCAUCAGUUUGGGCGGUUGGAUAAAGGUCUCUGUCAUGUACCUCUCUUCGGGGAGAACUUAUAGGGGAGACGACAUGCAACCAGCCUGGACUGAGGUCCGCGCAUCUGCUAGGAUGCUGGCGUAAUGGCUGUAAGCGGCCCGUCUUGAAACACGG
rnacentral:rRNA from 1 species